GCCUGGGUGGCUGAGUCUGUUCAGCGUCAGACUUCAGCUCAGGUCAUGAACUCACAGUUCGUGGGUUUGAACCCCACAUCAGGCU
rnacentral:tRNA from 1 species